AAAUCACAGUCUUCAGAUAUCUUCUCUUGCAUAUACUUUUGUAAUUUUAAACUUUUUCUUUUUAUCUGCGUUGUUGCUAACUUGAACAUGUUUUGUGCUUAAUCAGAUGUGGAUUUUGAAUGGCGAGUACGAAAAAUCUGGUCCAUCCAUUGUCCACAAGAAGUGCUUCUAAGGUCUGCUGUUAUAGGCAAGUCUUUGAGAUGUGGCUAUCAAAGAAAGGCGAUUAAAAUCAUUGUACCACUGAUACUAUUUCAUGUUUCCAGUGCAAACCUCUUUUGUAAGUUAACAAACUUGAUUUCUAAAUAUGUUUUGGACUUUACUAGUUGUUAGAGUACUGAUUUUGUAAGAUUUGUAUAAAGAAAAUCAAAUUAGAAAGAUAACUCUAACUCACGAUGGUUGAAUAAGCUCGAAGAAGUGGAUUUGAAUUUCAAAUCGUGUCUUUUCUUUGAGUGUGCGUGCGAGAGAGAGAGAGAAAUUUGAAGUGUUGUUUAGAUUUGUUGGAUUAGUCUAAAGGGAUUCUAUCUAUAAAUUUGAAGUCAUUUGAUGGAGAUCUGAUUAGAUGAUUUUGAACAACAAUUGCAACUGAAGAUGGAUAUAUUAUUUUCGUAGUUAGCAACA